rnacentral:lncRNA from 1 species
AAAUUGGGGGAAAAUCUUGGGGAAAAAAAAAAAGGAAAAUUCCCGAAAAACCCCUGGGUGUCGUUGCAGGUGCGGCCGGAACUGGCGGGACCAAGUGUGACACGGAGGGGACACCUGAGUGUGUGACACACCUGGGACACACCUGGGACACACCUGAGUGUGAGUGUGACACACCUGGGUGUGUGUGACACACCUAUGACACACCUGAGUGUGUGUGUGACACACCUAUGACACACCUGAGUGUGUGUGUGACACACCUGGGACACACUUGAGUGUGUGUGUGACACACCUGGGACACACUUGAGUGUGUGUGUGACACACCUGAGUGUGUGUGACACACCUGGGACACACCCGUGACCCCUCUGUGUGAGUGUGACAUCAUGACACGCCUGUGACACACCUGUGAGCUUGUGUGUGACACACCUGUGUGUGACACCUGUGUGUGUGUGACGCACCAGGCACACCUGGAUGAGUGUGGCACCCGUCCCUGACUGUGUCACCUGUGUCCCCAGGUGUCACACCUGGCCCUGGGUGUGUCCCAGGUGUCUCUGAGUGUGUCACACCUGUCCUUGAGUGGGUGACACCUGUCUGUCUGUGUCACACCUGCCCAGGAGUGUCACAGGUGUCUCUGACAAUGUCACCUGUGUCCCCAAGUGUGUCCCACCUGUCCUUGGGUGUGUCCCAGGUGUCCCUGGGUGUGUCCCACCUGUCCCUGGGUGUGUCCCCGGGUGUGUCCCAGGUGUCUCUGAUGUGUCCCACCUGUCCCCGGGUGUGUCCCAUCUGUCCCCAGGUGUGUCCCACAUGUCCCUGUGUCCCACCUGUCCCUGAGUGUGUCCCAGGUGUCCCUGACAGUGUCACACCUGUCCCCAGGAGUGUCACAUCUGUCCAUGUCCCUGUGUCCCACCUGUCCUUGGGUGUGUCAUAGGUGUCCCUGACAGUGUCACAACCGUCCGUGUCCCAUCUGUCCCCAGGUGUGUCCCACCUGUCCUUGGGUGUGUCCCUGACAGUGUGCCACCUGUCCCUGGGUGUGUCCCAGGUGUCCCUGACAGUGUCACACCCGUCCCUGUCCCACCUGU